ensembl:misc_RNA Metazoa_SRP Metazoan signal recognition particle RNA
GCCAGGCACAAUGGCUUAUGCCUGUAAUCCCAGCACUUUGGGAGGCCGAGGUGGGUGGAUCACCUGAGGUCAGGAGUUCAAGACCAGCCUGACCAACAUGGUGAAAGUCCAUCUCUA